rnacentral:rRNA from 1 species
AUUGAACGCUGGCGGCAUGCCUUACACAUGCAAGUCGAACGGCAGCACGGGAGCAAUCCUGGUGGCGAGUGGCGAACGGGUGAGUAAUAUAUCGGAACGUGCCCAGUAGUGGGGGAUAACUGCUCGAAAGAGCAGCUAAUACCGCAUACGACCUGAGGGUGAAAGGGGGGGAUCGCAAGACCUCUCGCUAUUGGGGCGGCCGAUAUCAGAUUAGCUAGUUGGUGGGGUAAAGGCCUACCAAGGCAACGAUCUGUAGUUGGUCUGAGAGGACGAACAGCCACACUGGGACUGAGACACGGCCCAGACUCCUACGGGAGGCAGCAGUGGGGAAUUUUGGACAAUGGGCGCAAGCCUGAUCCAGCAAUGCGGCGUGCAGGAAGAAGGCCUUCGGGUUGUAAACUGCUUUUGUCAGGGAAGAAAUCCUCUAGGUUAAUACCCUUGGGGGGAUGACGGUACCUGAAGAAUAAGCAUCGGCUAACUACGUGCCAGCCGCCGCAGUAAAAC